ACUCCAAUUGUAUAUCUAGGUACGAGUGUAUACUUCUUAAUUUUGAUGUAUAUUUGUGAUACAAGUCCAAGUGCAACCUCAAUCAUCAGUAUGUUCUGAUGGCUGCUGGCCCGUCUGCUAAUAGCCUGCCGAUACAGCCUUGGCACGUUGAGGCACAAGGUGCCACGGCUGCAUGAUCUGAUGGUGCGGGUUGUGACUUAAGCGGCGCAUCAAGGCCUGUGGCAUGCUACGAGUGUACUGUCGACUGCUGCUCCAUCCUCACCGCUCAAAAACAGCACUGUCAUCCAGCUAGGCUGCGUAAUCUUUUCUCCGUUUCUUUUCACUUUAAAUUGUUGUUAGGAUGAUCCCCAUCAGAAGAGAAAUGACUGGUUGAUGCAGUAAAGUUUCUCAUUUUAACAUAUGCAUUCUAGGUGCCUGUUAAAAUUCCUAGCAGCAAUUCUAAGUUCAUGUCAGCUAACGUCUACAUAAAUAGCUUCUCAGUAUUAACUAAUAGUGACAGAAUAUAUUGAUUUGGUAAAUACAUCUGUUAGGAUGGCCGAGUUUGUUGGAAGCAUUCUAUGAAAAUGAUAAGCUUUUUGUGGAGAAUCUGGUUUGCAUAGCUGAAUACAUCUCACAGGGGCUUUUGUCAGAAGAUGUUGCUGAACGCUUGCAAGCUUUUUGGUGCAAACAGAUUGAAGAAGUGUGUAAGUUGACUGCCUUUUCUGAUCAUCGUUUACCUUAAAACAUUCCUGUUUUGAACGCCUGACAUUUUAACUCUUUUUUAUGGAGUAUAUUAUCAUUGAGUUCUUCAAGUUCAUGCGGAACCCUUUGUCCUGGGUGAGUGAGGCAGCAGCAGUGAUCAUUCGUCUUAGCAAAUGGUGGUAGCCAAGGUCCUGGCUGGGAAGAUUUUCUGGGAACUGUCUACCUCUGAAUUUCAUUUGUGUUUUUUGAAUAUAUACCUCUGAACGAUGGAAUUCUUGAGUAGCACACUUGGUUGCUCCAUGGACAAGCUCUGCUCCGCGCUCUGCAAGUGUCCAAAUUCUGGAAUUAUCGGAGAGGAAACUUAGCACCAAGAUAGAGUUCUUUCUUGGUUAGCAAGGUCAGAUUGGAGCCUGACUAAAUUUUGCAGAGGCCUCUGUAACUGUGUUGCUUGAGCUCAGCCUGGAGAAGCGGCUAAUACCGAGGCAUUAUGUUGUAGGAGGAUUUGGUAAAAGAAGGUUUUGGCUUUUACGAUUGUGUAUGCAUGCGUGACGAAGAUUUUGUCGCAAAGUACAUUGAUCAGCAUUUGCACUCUGACGUGCGCCUUUUGGAAAUUGCCUUUGAAAGUCGAACUAUUAACCUCUUUGCAUGGGCGUAUUGGACAUUAGUUAUCUUUCAGGCCUUGGGUUAAUGCAACGCUUCAUUCCCUGAGGCUCAUUGUUAAUGUUCAAUCCUGGUAAUAUCUGUUUUGGGAUUCUGAUUUCGACAGUACCAGUAGUAACGAUCUGAUUGCUCAUAAUGCUAAGCAAGUUUCUAUCCUGGUAAUAUCUGUUCUUUUUAUCUUGUUUCCUUGCUUCAAGAUAUUUUCCUGUUCAGUCACUUCGAAGUUUGAGCAGACAGGAUUUUGGCCACAAUACCUGCAUCAUUUUCUCUCCCCUCUGUGUUUCUGAACCUAUGAUUUUAUUCAGCCUUCAGUUGAAGUUUACAUUGCUCGCUAGGAUUAUUGGGAUGCACAAUGCACGGGUUCAGAUAUUCAACCUUCAGUUGAAGUAUAUUUGCUUUUAAUGGGCAACUGUUGACUGGUGAAGAUACUAUUUAUUACAUUUUGUGUGUACCUUUGUGAAGUGUUUUUCAUUUGCUAUAGGGACUUAAACAUACAAGUAAAAUUGAAGGAACUUUUGAUCCAUUGGAGAGAUCAGCUGGAAUAUCAGAACAACUGUAGACAGUUGAAGUUCAAUGCAAUGUGAUUGAUGAUAGCGCUCUUAAAGUUUGAGAUUUCAAUUUCGAGGAAGCUAGUGCCAUUUUGAGAAUUAGAUGACCAUGAAGAUGACGAACAGCACCCUCUUGAUCUACAUAGCUCUUGAUGCUAGAAAUUUGAGCCUGGAACGACAUUGCUCUUUGGAUCAUGCAUUUUUUUUUUUGUAUAUCUGUUCCACAAAGAUUUUACUUUUAGCUUCCCUCAUUUGUCAUAGAAAAGGUUAAUUACAGCAUUGGAGUUUGGUAAAUCACGAGAACCAUUGCACUCGGAUUUAGAAAAGUAAGAGAAAUGCAUUAGGAUUUUACAAAAGUGAAGGCCAUGUUAGUUUUCCUGGCUUUGAAUUAAUUUUCGUAAGUUAGGAGAAAAAGAAGUUUUUUUAAUGAAGGGAAUAGCUCCUCAUUGCAUAUCUUAUUUCUGUAUUAGAGCAAGCUCAAUAGAAGAGCUAACUAUUGGCUUCAAAAUUUUUCUAUGUCACUAGGACCAA